rnacentral:rRNA from 1 species
UACGUAGGGUGCAAGCGUUGUCCGGAAUCAUUGGGCGUAAAGCGCGCGUAGGUGGCCCUGUAAGUCCGUUGUGAAAGUCAAAGGCUCAACCUUUGAAAGCCGAUGGACACUGCAGGGCUAGAGUACGGAAGAGGCGAGUGGAAUUCCUGGUGUAGCGGUGGAAUGCGCAGAUAUCAGGAGGAACACCAAUAGCGAAGGCAGCUCGCUGGGACGUUACUGACACUGAGGCGCGAAAGCGUGGGGAGCGAACAGG